GAUGAACGCUGGCGGCGUGCCUAAUACAUGCAAGUCGAGCGAACGGACGAGAAGCUUGCCUCUCUGAUGUUAGCGGCGGACGGGUGAGUAACACGUGGAUAACCUACCUAUAAGACUGGGAUAACUUCGGGAAACCGGAGCUAAUCCCGGAUAAUAUUUUGAACCGCAUGGUUCAAAAGUGAAAGAUGGUCUUUCUGUCACUUAUCGAUGGAUCCGCGCUGCAUUAGCUAGUUGGUACGGUAACGGCUUACCAAGGCAACGAUGCAUAGCCGACCUGAGAGGGUGAUAGGCCACACUGGAACUGAGACACGGUCCAGACGCCUACGGGAGGCAGCAGUAGGGAAUCUGACGCAAUGGGCGAAAGCCUUACGGAGCAACGCCGCGUGAGAGAUGAAGGUCUUCGGAUCGUAAAACUCUGUUAUUAGGGAAGAACAUAUGUGUAAGUAACUGUGCACAUCGUGACGGUACCUAAUCAGAAAGCCACGGCUAACUACGUG
rnacentral:rRNA from 1 species